rnacentral:rRNA from 1 species
CAUUACACAAAUAUGAAGGCGGGCUGGAACCUCUCGGGGUUACAGCCUUGCUGAAUUAUUCACCCUUGUCUUUUGCGUACUUCUUGUUUCCUUGGUGGGUUCGCCCACCACUAGGACAAACAUAAACCUUUUGUAAUUGCAAUCAGCGUCAGUAACAAAUUAAUAAUUACAACUUUCAACAACGGAUCUCUUGGUUCUGGCAUCGAUGAAGAACGCAGCGAAAUGCGAUAAGUAGUGUGAAUUGCAGAAUUCAGUGAAUCAUCGAAUCUUUGAACGCACAUUGCGCCCUUUGGUAUUCCAAAGGGCAUGCCUGUUCGAGCGUCAUUUGUACCCUCAAGCUUUGCUUGGUGUUGGGCGUCUUGUCUCUAGCUUUGCUGGAGACUCGCCUUAAAGUAAUUGGCAGCCGGCCUACUGGUUUCGGAGGCGCAGCACAAGUCGCACUCUCUAUCAGCAAAGGUCUAGCAUCCAUUAAGCCUUUUUUUCAACUUUUGACCUCGGAUCAGGUAGGGAUACCCGCUGAACUUAAGCAUAUCAAUAAGCGGAGGA